CACGCUCAAAGCCGCCGGCCGGGGUCGACAACUGCAGAGAGGGUCGGGAUAGGAAAUUGCGGGUAGCGGCAGAUGCGGGUCCCCAGGCAUCCCGGAGGUUCCCACAGGUCUGCAGUGGGCCUACUUUGCGAAAAGGGCCCGGCUGCGCCGAGCCUCGUUCAAAUCAGAUGCCAGAUAGUGUUUCUUGGGAUCCAUCCAAAUAGGGCCCUUGUUUCUCUUUGUGGGAGCCCUGGGCCUCCUUCCAGGCCGGAACCCAAGUGCUUAGGCAGCUGGGAAAGGCCGGUCCCCUUUUUCAGUUCUCUCGCGACCUCUAGCCACUUCCGGUUGCUAACGGUUCCCAAACAGCCCCCGAAAACGCUACGUGAGUUGGGCCCUGGGCCAGAGGCAGAAAACGGACGGAAGAAAAGGUCUGGCCGGAGAUGGGUCUCACUCUGUCACCCAGACUGGAGUGCAGUGAGUGGUGCGAUCAUAGCUCACUGCAGCCUGAAACUCCUGGGCUCAAGUGAUCCUCUCGCCUCAGCCUCCUGAGUAGCUGGAGCUACAGGUGUGAGCUACCCAGCAUGGCUCAUUUGAGAUUUCUGAGUAGAGAAGUAACAUGAUUAAACUUGGG
rnacentral:lncRNA from 1 species